ACUCUGGGAGUGAGAAAGGUGUAGGGGAUUCACUAUCCAGGACCAGCGGAAGUUAGUUGUAUGAAACUGAGCCUCCCUUGCCAUCCCUUUCGCAAUGUCUGUUUCCAAUUCCCAGAGACAGUAGACUCUGUGAGGAGCAGCGAUUCUCAGUCUUGUCUCUCUGGCACUUAACCCACACCUGAUGGCUUAAUCAGUCUUGCUAUGUAGCCCCUAUACUCACAAGCUUGCCCUAGUGGGACCACAGAACUGUGCCAGCACACCCAUCUUCCUGCUUCCUCACUGACCGGCAGCAUUUGCGUCUAAGAAGGUGCCAAUAUUCCCACUGCACCUGGCUGCUUGCAGAUUUCCCAUCCAGGUCCCCCCUGGUUUCUUUGUUUACAAACACAAGCUAAUAAAAAAGAAAAUACAUGUC